rnacentral:rRNA from 1 species
UACGUAGGGCGCAAGCGUUGUCCGGAAUUAUUGGGCGUAAAGAGCUUGUAGGUGGCUUGUCGCGUCUGCCGUGAAAACCCGAGGCUCAACCUCGGGCGUGCGGUGGGUACGGGCAGGCUAGAGUGUGGUAGGGGAGACUGGAACUCCUGGUGUAGCGGUGAAAUGCGCAGAUAUCAGGAAGAACACCGAUGGCGAAGGCAGGUCUCUGGGCCAUUACUGACACUGAGAAGCGAAAGCAUGGGUAGCGAACAGGAUUAGACUACCCCUGUAGUCC